AAGCGGAGCGACAUUUCUUACUACUGGAACUAGUUUGUCUGCAACAAGAGCAAACCAACUAAAAACUUUGUUUUAUUCUUCAGUCAAAAAUGCGUCCUAGAAUUCAAGUCAAAUAUGUUACAGAACACAUGAACUAUUUAAAAGAAAAUAUACACGUCAUUAAACCUGUGGUUGAAGCUUUACAAGUUGCUGUACAAAACAGCAAGACUUGGUUAGAAGAUAAAAGUGACAACAAAUCUGUGACAUACUGUGA